rnacentral:rRNA from 1 species
AUGCAAGUCGAGCGGCAGCGGGAAGUAGCUUGCUACUUUGCCGGCGAGCGGCGGACGGGUGAGUAAUGUCUGGGAAACUGCCUGAUGGAGGGGGAUAACUACUGGAAACGGUAGCUAAUACCGCAUGACCUCGCAAGAGCAAAGUGGGGGACCUUCGGGCCUCACGCCAUCGGAUGUGCCCAGAUGGGAUUAGCUAGUAGGUGAGGUAAUGGCUCACCUAGGCGACGAUCCCUAGCUGGUCUGAGAGGAUGACCAGCCACACUGGAACUGAGACACGGUCCAGACUCCUACGGGAGGCAGCAGUGGGGAAUAUUGCACAAUGGGCGCAAGCCUGAUGCAGCCAUGCCGCGUGUGUGAAGAAGGCCUUAGGGUUGUAAAGCACUUUCAGCGAGGAGGAAGGGUUCAGUGUUAAUAGCACUGAACAUUGACGUUACUCGCAGAAGAAGCACCGGCUAACUCCGUGCCAGCAGCCGCGGUAAUACGGAGGGUGCAAGCGUUAAUCGGAAUUACUGGGCGUAAAGCGCACGCAGGCGGUUUGUUAAGUCAGAUGUGAAAUCCCCGAGCUUAAC